rnacentral:rRNA from 1 species
CAUUACACAAAUAUGAAGCCGGACUGGGAUAGGGCCUCGCUGCCUUGCCCGUCUGGCGCCAUAUUCACCCAUGUCUUUUUGCGUACUACUUGUUUCCUUGGCGGGUCCGCCCGCCAAUUGGACCUUAUUCAAACCUUUUUUUCAGUUGCAAUCAGCGUCAGCAAAACAAAUGUAAUCAAUUACAACUUUCAACAACGGAUCUCUUGGUUCUGGCAUCGAUGAAGAACGCAGCGAAAUGCGAUAAGUAGUGUGAAUUGCAGAAUUCAGUGAAUCAUCGAAUCUUUGAACGCACAUUGCGCCCUUUGGUAUUCCAAAGGGCAUGCCUGUUCGAGCGUCAUUUGUACCCUCAAGCUUUGCUUGGUGUUGGGCGUCUUGUCUCUCUCCCGAGACUCGCCUUAAAAUCAUUGGCAGCCGGCCUACUGGUUUCGGAGCGCAGCACAUUAUUUGCGCUCUUGUCCAGCCGCGGUCGCGCGUCCAUGAAGCUUCUUUCAACCUUUUGACCUCGGAUCAGGUANGGAUAC